rnacentral:rRNA from 1 species
UACGAAGGGGGCUAGCGUUGUUCGGAAUUACUGGGCGUAAAGCGCGCGCAGGCGGUCUUCCAAGUCAGUGGUGAAAGCCUGGAGCUCAACUCCAGAACUGCCAUUGAAACUGUUAGACUUGAGUACGAGAGAGGUGAGUGGAAUUCCCAGUGUAGAGGUGAAAUUCGUAGAUAUUGGGAAGAACACCGGUGGCGAAGGCGGCUCACUGGCUCGUAACUGACGCUCAGGCGCGACAGCGUGGGGAUCGAAACAGG